CAAAUUAGCUGCUACAGCGAUCUUUUCCCUUCUUGCCUUCUUUAUUUUCCUUUUGCUGUCCGGCUGUCCCCCAGAUCUCUCUUCGCCUCGGCCGCCCGAGGCUGCAAUAAAGACGGCCGGACGGCCCUUCUGGCCAUCAAAGCUGCCUUCAAUAACGCUGAGCUCUUCGCCUCAUGUGCGACCCCUCCACCCUCUACUACACCUGGCUCGGCGUCGACUGCGAGCCCAAGCGAGGCCGUGUCAGCGGCCUCACCAUCUCCCCCCAUUGCCGACAUCCGCCACCUCCAGAACCUCGAAUUGUAUGACCUCCCCAACUGGGUCGGCCCCAUUAUAAUAUUCCUCAGGCCUUCGCCAAGCUCAGGAAUAUCCUGCUCCUUCGUGUCCAGAAUACUAGCAUCUCUGGUACCAUCCCCGCCUUCGUGGGCAGAUCCCAGCCGGCUCGAUGACCGCCAUUCCCGCACGUUUUAUAGAUUGCUGUUCGGUGAUUUUGUUCGGAUGUUUUCGUUUGGAAUAAGCGGGAAAGGGUGUAUCGGAUAGAGAAUUGCAGGAUUUGUUAUUGCAAUGUCAGAACAAAAGUCUGUUUCCACUGCACAGCUACUCUUGCUCUCCAAAAUUUAUGCAGAUGGAAUGUUGUUAUGCCGGGCUGGACCUAGGAGCCUAACAAGCAAUGUUAGGUCGUACUCUAGCUGGGACUGUCACGUCAGAUUCCAGCCCAACAAGAUUGGGGCCGGGGUUGGGCCUUCAUCUUUGGACUUACUCUCAGACCUCCUACCCAUGGGCAUUCCUAUUUUCAGCAAUCAUAUCACUUCUCACCAACCAACAUAAAGUUUUUACGUGCCUGCCUUUAUUCUUUUUGCCCGUGAUUUAGAGAACCAACGCAGUAGCUAGGGUGACUGAAACAAAGGAGAGAGGAUUAUUCAAAGAAACAAGAAAACUAGAACGAAGUUGGUGGUGCACAUGGAGCUUACUCAUUGCCUAGCAAUUUUCACCAACUCGAUGAAGUCAGCAAGAUUAGAUGCCAUCGAGGCUCUUUUUAGGAUUGAGGUGUUAGAUAAAAGAGCUUUCGAAGCGGAGG